UAAUGCCGACCCGUCACGUGGUGGACUGUCCUGUGGUACAGGGAGAGCCAACUCGGGAAACCUCGUUAGCUAAGCGUUUAUGCGUCUCCUUGGAUGUUUUUCACAUUAUGUGGAGUGUCCUGUGGAACUGGACUCGAAGCUAAUUGACCCACUCCGCAUACUGAAUAUCUUAGAGAUAAGAACCCUCUAGGCCAAACCAUAGUGUAUACCAUUUUCCUCUAAUUUACAGCUCUCCUGUUUACGAACGUCCUCUAGCAUACACCAACAAACCGCAACCGCUGGUAGUUUACAACCUCUGCAUGUACGGAGGAGUUCGGGUUACGUAUAAAAACAAUCCGUCAUGUACUCCAAUGUCAAACUGACGCUUGCACUUCUUUCGGUGCUCCUGUUCUCCUACUACUAAACAAAUCUUGUACCUGACGGCUGACCAUACGACUUUACACAAAACGAUGACUGUGAACCGGUUGUACGCCUUAUGUUGUUACACAAACGGUCAAAAACUCACUUGACACGCGUGCCGAUCUAAGUUUGAAACUUGACGAUCUUUCCAAUUUACGUUCAUGAUAUUCCGUCCACCGUCCUACGGUAGGGAGUUUCGUCAUAUUCUCACAUUGUAGGCCGUCUACAGCACAACGGAAAGUGGUAUCAACGUGUAAGUUUUUGUAAACUUCGAUCGCAACGAACGCUACCGCGGUUGCGGACGACUUCGGCGGUCCACACGGUGCCGCUACUCUAGGCUUAACCACCGAGAUCACCGCCUAACCUCUAAGUCAGUAGAAGGAGAAGCAGUUUCGACGGACGCGUUCUGCCACCGCCUCACCUGUUCCCUCUCCAAUAGGUUCCUCUAACAGCACCCUAAUAGUACAAGUUCUUCUACCGUGUUAUAAUGUCUCUUCUUCCUAUGCCGCUGGUGCUAUGAAAUCGAUACGUCUUACGUUGCCGCCACUGUGGCUACACCUGGUGCCUAGAGUACAUCGCCCACGCCACCUUCUUUGACUUAGUCGACUUCUCCUCCUUCACUCGUCGUCCCCAGGAUUCGAUGCCGCAUGCGUCCGCAUCAUACUCUACCUUCCUGCUUAAGCAUUGUUGCAUACAAAAAAACUUCAAGUCUAUAUCAUAAUGAAUUGAUUCGUUGAUGUCCCUAGAGCAGACGAUGUUACGGGUCUUAUGUUAGACCUCCUAUCAAAUCGGUGAGGGAUGUUUGAAAUAAUGUUUGAGGGAGAGAACGAUUUAUUACUCGACGUGAUAAUCGUCUGGAGGAGUGGGUUCAAUGUAAUUUGAGAACGGAACAGGA
rnacentral:rRNA from 1 species